rnacentral:lncRNA from 1 species
CGUUUUAUUAUGAACAAUGUUGGAAGGGUUUUUGUGCUUCAAAUCAAAAGAAAAAAAACACAUCAAAAAUCCAAUGGCAAAGCCAUUUGUGAACCUGUUAUACGAUAGAACUCUGCACAAGUGAGCGAACUAUUGAAAAUUUGAAAAGAAUACUAUUUAGGUGCUAUAGAACUAUACACUCUAAUGGUAAAUAAAAGUGCUGCACGAUACACAACGUACAUAAUUUGUGCAUGCAGACGCAACAUGUAUUUAGGGAUGAUAUUUUUUUCAAAAGGAAACUUAAAAUUAAGGACGGAAUGGAGUAUGUGCCAAGAAGAAAAAAAAAAUCAUAGAAAGUUACAAACUCAAACAACUUGAAAAUUUGGGUCACCAAAGUUUCUCUUAUAUUUAGGACCGGAGAAAAUCUUAUCUAAACCAAACUGACAUCCUACAAGAAAACGUUGCAGCAUAGUUGUACGUCUAACUUCAAUAAUGUGGCUAAACUUUCAAAGGUUAUAAACCACAAUAACAGACUCAUGCGAUGAGAAACUCUACAAGGAAAUGUAAGUACCCAGAAAGAUGUCCUGCAGUACAAUCAAUAAGUUACAAUGAACUUGAAAACAAUUACUGCAGCCACCAUUCAGGAGUUCUCGUCACAGUAGGGUCAUUAGAAAUCCCACCUUCGAUCCCUGCUCAUACUUAAAUCCGUGCAGCUGCACUUGCCAAGCAUAGAAUUAGAGUAACCAAUAAUCAAUGACUGAAAUGACCCCCUUCAAAAUCUACCAGUGUCCCAACCAGUUUUGCA